GGCAAUGGGAAUAUCAAGCACAGAGGCUCUCAUCUGGCAAAGAACUUGGCUUGUUUCAGAGUCAGAAAGGGACCAGCCUGGUUGGAGAAUGGUCAUGAGGUGAAGCAGGAGGACAGACAAUGGGAAACAAUAUGGUCAGAAAGAAGAACAGGUGCCAGAUAAUGCAGGGUGGUCAGGAUAAAGUGAAGGCUCUGGGGUUGUUUUCUAAAAGAAAUGCUAAAGUUUAAACCAGGUGUACAAGGUGAUUGGAGGAAAAAUUUAAAUACCCACUUGGUUAUUAAGUAGGGAAUUAAUUGUGAUAAAGUAUUCUGGAAGCCAGGAGCCCACUGAAGUCAUUGCCAUAAUUCAGUGAGAAGAAAAGCCUGAACAGGGUUAAUAGCCUUCCCCCAAGGCUACAUGAUCCAUUGCAAUACAGAGAGAAUGAGAAUUCAAAUUAAGGAUGACCCUCUAAAGGAAAACCUAUCCAAUCUGCCCUACACUCCAUUUGUACAUAUCAGCAGUUUGCAAAUUCUUCACCAAUUUCAUCAAGAAAACGGACAUGGAAUAAAAACUCCUCUGGAAGCUCAAAGCUCACUAAACUUUCUUCCUAAAAUAUACCACUGAUAGAGUCUCAAUCAAAAAAGCAAAAGUCAUCAAGGACCCUGGACAGCGCACGAUCCCAGGUGGACUUCCAGGGUGAAUUGGUGAUCAAGUCUCCUCUACUGGACUUGAGCAGGGGCUGCUGCUGUUGCUGUUGCUACUGCUGUUGCUUCUGCUUCUUCUGCUGCUGCUGCUUUCUCACUCCGGAGGCUGAAACGCUGUCAGAUUGGAGGGAUCUGUAUCUCAGCCCUAAAUAAAGCAUUCAUUUGGUUCA